rnacentral:rRNA from 1 species
UACGAAGGGGGCUAGCGUUGCUCGGAAUCACUGGGCGUAAAGCGUGCGUAGACGGCUAUCUAAGUCGGGUGUGAAAGCCCCGGGCUCAACCUGGGAAUUGCAUUCGAGACUGAAUAGCUAGGGUGCGGUAGAGGGAAGCGGAAUUUCCGGUGUAGCGGUGAAAUGCGUAGAUAUCGGAAGGAACAUCAGUGGCGAAAGCGGCUUCCUGGACCAACACCGACGUUCAGGCACGAAAGCGUGGGGAGCAAACAGG